CAGUGAUAGACAUUUUAAAUGCUACUGCUCUUUCACCAUUUCAGCUACAAACAUUGAAACAACUUCAACAUUUUCAAAACUUUAUAAAUGAUAACUAUUUACAUUUUCAUGAAUUACCAUAAAUAACCCACCAACAGUAAUAUUAUAGGCCUAACUCUAGAACUGUUCAAGCUAGAGACACCCAACUAACUUUCACCUGUUCCAGCUAUCCUUUCUAUCAACCAUAUUACUUCAAGACAAGCUAGCAAGCACACCCACUUUCUUUAGGAUAUGUACUUUUCGAGUAUUCAGUUGACCUUAGUCACCGCAGGUGAAUUAUAGCUUCCAUGUAAGACCAAUAGGUCUACGACUACGGACGGGGAAUGGACAUAUGAACCGAAUUGCGUUGUGGUUAAAAGCUUAUAUUUACCGCAGAGGUCGCUAUACGAGCUGCUUAUCUGUAAAACUUUUCUUUGCCAUUUACCAUGCAAAAUAUCCCCAUAAAUAUAUUUUGAACAACAUAAACUAGACGAACUGUAUAAUKAUUAUUGUUCGAAAAAUGUCCCCAUCGUGCUCAUGGAAUCAACCUUCUCUGAGGAGGAAGGUAGAGAGAAUAAUUGUCUCAAACUCUUCAAAUUGUAAACCAGUGAAUUCAUAUCAAAAGACAAUGAUUAUAAACACAAAGGCUAUUUGUAUUGCUGACAGUCACACCCCAAAAACGUAUAAGAAGAGGUCUCAGAGGUGUAGUUUCUGGGAUGUUUCUGAUAAACUGGAGGUUUCCAUUUGAUUGGAAGGCUGUACAGGUGGUUUGGGRGAUGCGCAGUGUUGCCCAACGUCACAAUCGGUGGUGGUAUAAAUUCCCCUGGGUUUGUCCUCCAGUCAUUUAUCUUGAGAAAAGCCUGAGGCAGGAUAGCUACAUUACGCGCAAUUGUUGCUGGGAAGAUCCCGUUAACAAGAUGACUAAAAUGUUGAUGGCUUACAUUGGAUUUCUUCUCCUUGCCAUGCAUUUUUCAUCACAGGUCCACGCGCAAAAUGCUACAACACAGUCCCCUGCCAUGAAUGCUACGACCAGAGCUGGCGGUGCGAGUUCCAACAUGACCAAGAUGCCCGAUGUCACCAAGAACAACAACAUUGCCAAAGGAGCCAGUGCAUCCUUGCAGUCCAGYUCGGUUGCGCUCAUCAUACCCAUCAUGGUGGGGGGCUCACUACAGGGGCGCUUCUAGAGGGCUGUUGCGCAGUGAAUCGACACCGGCAAGACUUGAACAUCAGCGGCCGAGAUGGGGCAAACUUUUUUACUAAGAGCACAUUUUGUAUAUACUUUUCAGAAAGGCAGUCAUGUGCGCUCCUAACCGAAGAGAUUCGGUGGAGUUCCGUGCUGGACGAGAACCCAUUUCUACUUCACUGAUGGGAGUUGUUAUUUGCCCUCACACCUUCAAACCAGUAGGCCUUCACACCUCGCACACUGGCCCCAUGCUCAUAGGCCGAACGGUACGGUCCUCUCCAUGAUGAGGAUGCACUCUGCUCUUUGAACCGUUUGGUCCCGCUGUUCCUGUGUCGACACCAGGGGGUUGCUUAGUAAUUUGUUAAGAAGUUAACAUAUCUAAAGAAAUGUUGGUUGAGGCACUUUGAAARUAAGGUAUAAAUGAAUCUGUGGCACAUGCACAGGCUUGAUGUACACUUGUGAUAUAUUUCUAGAAUAUGAAAUUGUAUGGGUUAGCAUGUGAGAUUUGAUUGUAUAAAUCAUGAUGUGAUAUGCUUAGAUUUGUUAAGGCCAGGCUCAAUUAACCUUUAAAAUGUAGGAUACUUGUGACCAUUUUCUUGUGUAAUAAAAAUAUUUUAACAUGAUGUUUCUUCUCCUGUCUCUAAAUUCUAAAGCUUGACCUGACAAGUAAUUUGCUCUGUUCCCACUUUGUGUCCAGCCCUUUAUUGAUCAC
rnacentral:lncRNA from 1 species